rnacentral:ncRNA from 1 species
GGUAGGAGCAAAUAUUCACAUGAAAACUUGGAAGGACAAAGUGGAGAAGGUUUCCAUAUGAACAGCAGAUGAACAUGGUUCAGUUGGCCCUGAGAGACAGCUGAGUGCUGGUCCAAAGGGAUGGGCAUGGCCUCCAUUGCCCUAAACCAAUAGAAAGGGAGUCUGGUUCAAACCUCCAAUUCAAAGUAGAGGCUCAGGGUCCAGUGCCAUAACACACCUCAUCCAGGGGAAUCUGGUGGGGGUCCCAGAAAGAGUUCUCUUUUCUUUGUGAAGAGCAGGGCUGACAUGGAAUGACUUCACAGUAUGGAGAACAUCAUGGUUCUGGUAGCAUAUGGAAAUCUUCUCCACUUUGUCCUUCCAAGUUUUCUUUUGUCCCUUGAAAAUCCAGGAGGGAGGGUGUAAAUCUUAUGAACUGUUAAGGCCUGGGAUUUCACCCACCACCAAGGAAGGCUGUGGAC